UACGAAGGGGGCUAGCGUUGCUCGGAAUCACUGGGCGUAAAGCGCACGUAGGCGGAUUGUUAAGUCAGGGGUGAAAUCCUGGAGCUCAACUCCAGAACUGCCUUCGAUACUGGAGAUCUUGAGUCCGGGAGAGGUGAGUGGAACUGCGAGUGUAGAGGUGAAAUUCGUAGAUAUUCGCAAGAACACCAGUGGCGAAGGCGGCUCACUGGCCCGGUACUGACGCUGAGAUACGAAAGCGUGAGGAGCAAACAGG
rnacentral:rRNA from 1 species